AGGGGGACGCUGUCGGUUCCUGGCGGGAGAGACGAAGGAAAAGGCCGAGGACGUGGGGGACACUUAGAGGAGGAGAGGUUGUGGGACAUGGUGAGGGAUACAGCGGGGAAUACAAACGGAACACUCGCUUGUUUUAACUUUAAUGAAAACUGCGCUGGCAACAGGGCUGGCAGAGCCUGUGGUAGUUUGAAUGUUGAGGCCGGGAGGCGGGCCUAGAAGAUAUAAAGGGUUUGUCAGACGAUGAACUCUUGUGCAGUUCCUCGUUAGUAUAGUGACCUUUUGAAAUCCCCUGGCAUUUUCAGAAUGAGAAGAAAUUGGCCCACCUGUGGUGCUCACCUAAGGAUGAUGUCUUCAAAUUCUUGUACAGUGUCUGAAGAUCCCUCACAAACCAAGAACAACAAAAAAAA